rnacentral:rRNA from 1 species
CAGUAGCCGCGGUAAUACGUAGGGUGCAAGCGUUAAUCGGAAUUACUGGGCGUAAAGCGUGCGCAGGCGGUGUUGUAAGACUGAUGUGAAAUCCCCGGGCUCAACCUGGGAACUGCAUUGGUGACUGCAACGCUGGAGUGCGGCAGAGGGGGAUGGAAUUCCGCGUGUAGCAGUGAAAUGCGUAGAUAUGCGGAGGAACACCGAUGGCGAAGGCAAUCCCCUGGGCCUGCACUGACGCUCAUGCACGAAAGCGUGGGGAGCAAACAGGAUUAGAUACCCCCGUAGUCCCUGUCUCUUAUAC